GGAAUAUUGCACAAUGGGGGAAACCCUGAUGCAGCCAUGCCGCGUGUGUGAAGAAGGCCUUCGGGUUGUAAAGCACUUUCAGUAGGGAGGAAAGGGUGUAACUUAAUACGUUAUAUCUGUGACGUUACCUACAGAAGAAGGACCGGCUAACUCCGUGCCAGCAGCCGCGGUAAUACGGAGGGUCCGAGCGUUAAUCGGAAUUACUGGGCGUAAAGCGUGCGCAGGCGGUUUGUUAAGCGAGAUGUGAAAGCCCUGGGCUCAACCUAGGAAUAGCAUUUCGAACUGGCGAACUAGAGUCUUGUAGAGGGGGGUAGAAUUCCAGGUGUAGCGGUGAAAUGCGUAGAGAUCUGGAGGAAUACCGGUGGCGAAGGCGGCCCCCUGGACAAAGACUGACGCUCAUGCACGAAAGCGUGGGGAGCAAACAGGAUUAGAUACCCCUG
rnacentral:rRNA from 1 species